UACGGGGGGGGCAAGCGUUGUUCGGAAUUACUGGGCGUAAAGGGUUUGUAGGUGGCUCGCUAAGUCAGACGUGAAAUCCCUCAGCUUAACUGGGGAACUGCGUCUGAGACUGGCAAGCUUGAGUGCAGGAGAGGAACGCGGAAUUCCAGGUGUAGCGGUGAAAUGCGUAGAUAUCUGGAGGAACACCGGUGGCGAAGGCGGCGUUCUGGACUGCAACUGACACUGAGAAACGAAAGCCAGGGGAGCAAACGGG
rnacentral:rRNA from 1 species